CCUGACACCGCACCCUUCCAUGCCCUCCCUGUCGACGCCGAGUCUCCCUCCUCCCAGACCUCGUGUGGCAGGAAGUACCCACAGUGAGUGAAGCUGGCAGUGAACACUGCAUCAGACUCACAGAAUGAGUGUUUCCCGGACCACCUGAAAGAUAAUUCACACCUUGGUUUUAAGAGAGAAGGCAAGAGAUGAAUGCUCCUUUCGCUCUGCACGUAAGGUCCUGAUUCCGUGUUAGAGACAGACAGCUGUUAGCAGCGCUAUGAAGGAAAUGGUAGGCUCUGUGCUCUUCCAGUGAAUGGAACUUAUACCCAGUGAGUGAUGUACACGCUCAGCUCAACAGAGGACCUCGAGCAGGCUACAAAGAAACCUCUUCGCUGUGCUCAGCCUGCCGCUAAGUGAGAAACUUC